rnacentral:lncRNA from 1 species
ACUGACUGCAGCAUUUGUGAUGAAUGAAAUCAGUAGCCCCUCUGCUGAUGAUCCUUUGCUGCCGGUCUGCCGGAUACUGCACACAGACAGGAACAACCAAGAUACAAUGUCAUAUGUGUGAGGGGACGGCCUUUUUACAUUCAAGUAUGUUAGAUAUUUGCCUUUUAUGUGUGAAUUAAUUGUGGAAUUUUACUUUUGAGUUGCAAUUUGUUAAAUCCAUGUCUUCUUAGGUGGGGAGGAAAGUCAUAUAUACCGUGUCAAAUUUGAGAUUUGAGGGAAGCUAACUGGCCUUCUUCGUGAUAUCUGUAUUUCCGAUUUUAUUUGCUUUGUUGGUUUGUUUCAUGAUCUGUUUUUCUGGCCGCUAAACAGAAAUUAGGAUUUAAUAGAACAGGUAAGUAAAAUAGAGGUGAUAUGUCUAGAGACUGGAAACAAAUCCUCUUCUGUUUUGUGGUCUGUCAGAUUCUUCUGGUAGUCCGAAGAUCCCCGAAUUCCUUAAAAUUGGACCAUGGUUCGCAGAAUGCAAGAUGUAAUCUUUGAACUUGUAUAUGGCUACUGUAUACAGAAUUGCAUAAUCAUAGAAAGAUUGUGCUUGGAGGAUUAAAGAUACACCCUAAAAAGGGAAGUUUAAUUGCACGUCAAUCUGUUGAUAAUAUGAAAUGGGUCUUUUUCUUGAACUAGUAUAUGGUGUUAUGUUAAACGUGUUACACAUAUAUUGCCCUUUCAUGCUACAACAACAACAUACUCAGUGAAAUCCCACUAAGUAGGGUCUACGAAGGAUAGAGUAUACACAGACCUUACCACUACCUCGUGGAAGUAGAGAGGUUGUUUCCGAAAGACCCUCGGCUCAAGUGCGUCAAAUUCAAGUAAAAGAAGAAGACAAUGAAGAAAACAUAGCAGUUAAAUAAGAAAAGCAGUGUAUAGUCGAUAAAAAAGCAAUAACAACAACAAAAUAGUGGGGGUCAUGUACCCUUUCAUGCUACAUGAGCAAAAAUACCUUGAACUGCAAUUUAUUUCAUUAGAAUCAUUGCAUGUUCUUGCUAUUAUUGUGAAAAAGACUGAGUAGCUAUAAUAGGUUACAGGAAAAAUACUAUUUUGUAUUUCUGGGAUGCGCUACUUAGGAAUAUGUUCGUGUUUCGGAGGCCAGUUUAUGCUGAAAAGACACCUUUUUAGAUUUCAUAAACCAUACCAACUUGAAGUGUUUUAUCUGGUGGAAUUUGAAGUGCAGAAAUAGCUGCCCUGCUAUUCUUCUGAAGAAACCUGUACAAGUACUCUAUAGUGAAGCGAGCAAACCAACCUUUAUUUGCUUUGAGAAUGGUUCUUCCUAACACAAAAACGGGUCCUCUUUCAGCAGCUGCAUCUAUUUUUCGUUUUUCACUAGUAGACUCGGCUUGGUCUUGGAGUUUUGUGAUCAUUAAAGUAACAAAGUCAUCUCCUUCCAUGCUUUGAGAAUCCUUAUAUCCAAACUGAAUCAAACACCGAUAAAAUCCUUCAACUCCCGUCUUCCCCACAUUGUAACGUUCCUCCACCAGGACGGUUUUGAUGGGAAGAGUUCUAACAGUGACAAUUACCAGGAUUUCUCUUACAGAAUUUGUGUGCUGAAUGUAAUGACAGAUUAUGGGUGGAAUGCCAUUUCUGAGAUCAGUGAAAAAGAAGCAAAUUCCUGGUGCUCGGUAUGUACUAUAGCUUGAUAGCAUUUGGUCUAGAUCAGGUAAACUCAUCUUUCUAUCUGCUUCAUAUUCUUUUUUCUUACUCCUUCCAUAUGUCCAAGAUAGCAUGAUAGUCAAGAAGAAAGCAGAAAUAGCAAAUGGCACCCAUCCUCCUUGUGGUAUUUUAUUGAGCAAAGAUGUCAUGAAACAACCUUCAAUUAUUAUAUAAGGCAAGAAAAAUGCCAAAAUGAGAAUGAUAUUUGUCUUCCAUAUGAUUAGCAUCACUAAUGCUGUCAAGAAUGUUGUUAUGAUCAGGGGCGGACCCACGUGGAGGUCAGGGGGUUCACCCGAACCCCCUCAUCGAAAAAUUACACUGUAUAUAUAAGGUCUAUUUCUGAUUUUAUGAGUACAUAUAUUAAAAUGAACCCCCUCAAUUUUUAAGAGAGGCAUGGCUCAGUGGUUAAGGGGUUCAACUCUAACCAAGAGGGUCUGGGUUCGAUUCCCACUUGCAACAUUUUUCCAUUUGUUUUUUUUUCUUUGAAAGGUUGAAUGGGCUCUUGCUUUGGGCUCAAAUCCAAUUCCAUUUCAUUGUUUUUAGAAGGCUGUAUGGGCUCUGGUUUCGGGCUCAAAUCCCAACUCAAUGAAAUGUCUCACUAUUUGAUUAUUAUUAAAUUUGAAAUUGAUUUACAAAAAUAUUAUAUAAAAAUAAAUUAAAUUAAAGUUAAUCGAAUGAAGAAAUUUAAAAGUCGUGUAUAAUCUUUUAAUAAAAUCUAAUUAAUUGAUUCCCGCCCCUCCCCCCCCUCUUAAAUUUAUAGUAUUUCUUUCUUAUUUUUUUUCAGUUUGAUUUUAAAAAGAUGAAAACUAAACUAAACUUAUUUGUUCUAUUCAUCAUUUGAUGAAUUAUUAUUAAAUUUGAAAUUGAUUUACAAAAAUAUUAUAUAAAAAUAAAUUAAAUUAAAGUUAAUCGAAUGAAGAAAUUUAAAAGUCGUGUAUAAUCUUUUAAUAAAAUCUAAUUAAUUGAUUCCCGCCCCUCCCCCCCCUCUUAAAUUUAUAGUAUUUCUUUCUUAUUUUUUUUCAGUUUGAUUUUAAAAAGAUGAAAACUAAACUAAACUUAUUUGNNNNNNNNNNNNNNNNNNNNNNNNNNNNNNNNNNNNNNNNNNNNNNNNNNNNNNNNNNNNNNNNNNNNNNNNNNNNNNNNNNNNNNNNNNNNNNNNNNNNUAAACUUAUUGGAUUCAGAUUACUAGUUUCCUCCUAUAUCUCGCUCAGUUUUUUAUCUUGUAAUUUUCACAUGUUUACUUCUUUAUAUUUCGAACCCCCUCCACAGAAAUCCUGGAUCCGCCACAGUUGACACCCCUUCGUUAGAAAACUAUAUUGUAUAGAUAGGUAACUUAUUUAUUUUAUAUAUAUGUGUUAUGAUAUUGAUAUCCUUUGAAUUCUUCAUGAAUUUACUUAUUUAUAUUUUGACAUUUCUUUAUGAAAAUUCUGAUUCGAACACUAAAAAUAACUAUCAAUAUUAAAUGACUGAUGACGACGAUCAUGCAUGAUAAAAGGAUGAUCAAGUGAACAACUCUAUCGACAAUUGCAUUGGGUAUCAAAUAAGGAUAAUAUACUUAAUAAUAUUGAUAUUUUUCUUUCUUUAUAGAAUAGAAUAAUGAGUUGGCACCUUUUUGAAGUUUCUUUUUAAGCACGUCGCCAAAAGUCAAAAUUCUUUUGGAUAUCCCUUUCUAUGGACGUCAUUUAGAUUUUGUCAUCUAUUAAUGAUUUUGUGCCAAUUAUUUAUAAGAUCGCAUAAGAUAUAAACGUUCUUUUUAACUUGACCUCAAUUGAUAUUUAUCUAUGUUUUUUAAUUUUGAAUGUAUAUAAGUAGACACUUGAAUUUGUACAAAAUUGAACAAAUAGACACAUUCAUCUUACGUGGCAUCCUACAAGUCAACUGUGUGUCCUACAUAUAUAUUAUGUCACGUAGGAUACAUAUAUAUAUCUAGGAAAAGUUAAUCCACAUAUACAUAUAAAAACAUAUAUUACAUCGUAUAUACGUAGAAAUUAGUAAUAUAACAAAAUAAUUACUAGUGAUGACAGAUUUGGAUUAUUUAAUAAUUAAUUUAAUUAUAUUUGAAUUAUUUAAUAAUUAUAUUUUUUUUGCUUUAGUGCAAAUAAGAAGCGUGCAAUUUUUGUAGUAGUACGUACCUAGGAUAUGAUCAUGACCCAGAUGACCACCACCCCUGUAGUUGAAAAAGAAAAGUUAGUUCCAUUUCUCAGCGAAGUACGCUUUAUUUGGACUUCCAGUUGUGGUUUAACUUAACAACAACAACAACAGAUCUAGUGUGAUCCCACACUUGUCUGGAGAGGUGGGUGGUAUGCAGACUGUACCCUACCUUUGCGAGGUAGAGAGGUUGCUUACGAUAAGACCCUCUCGGCUCAAGAAAAGCGUUUUUCAAACAUUUUUAUACUAUUAAUUUUACUCGUUUGGAAACCGACUCUCUACCUCCACGAGGUAGCGUAAGGUCUGUGUACACUCUACCCUCCCUAGACCUCACCUGUGUGAUUACACUAGGUAUGUUAUUGUUGUUGUUGAAUUAAUAAUAAUUUUACUGAUUAUAACAGGUUAUUUACCAUUGUUACAGAUUAUUAACCCAUUCUUGCUAUAAAAAGUUGCAUAUAAUUGGUUAUUUUAAGUAGCAUGAUAGUAUUAGAUUUUUAAGUUGUCGGUGUACAAAAAGAAAUCUGAGUGAUGCUUACCAUAGGCAUUUGCUAGUUCAACACCUCCUUUGAAACCAAGAACGAGAGUGACACAAAGAAUCAUGAGGAUGUAGUUUACCUCUGGGGAAUAGAUUUGUCCUUCAUGCUUGGAUGAAGUAUGUAUAAUGUUUACUCGAGGGAAGCAUCCAAGAGCAAGUGAUUGCUUUACAAUGGAAAAAGUUGCUGAUAUCAUGGACUGGCUAGCAACCACGGCAGCUAGAGUUGAGAUUACAAACAUUGGCCAGUAAACAGGUUUUGGUAGGGAACUGUAAUAAGCAUUGUUGAUAUUCUCUGGAUACCUCACUAGAUAAGCUGUUUCUCCGGCAUAGCUGAGAACUAGGGAUGGAUAAACUACAAAAGAAAAUGCCAACUGCAAGACUCAUUGUACAGAAAUGCCAUCAAUCAGAUUAACUUUUCUAAUGGUAGAUUAGAGUUCUUUGUUCCUUACCUGAAUUGCUCUUUUAUUGAAAUGACCUAAAUCAGCAAACAUGGCUUCCGCUCCUGCAUGACAGUUUAAAACAUGUCGGAAGUGAACUAAUUUUCUCCUAUUUCAUAUGCUUUUCUUUUAUCUUUUUUUUCCCCUCAAAAUUAGUUGUAAAGUUAAACCUGUAAUGCUUAGAAAUACUGCACCGAGAAGAUUCCAAGCAGUCUUUCCAUUUCUUGAAACAAAUUUCACUAUGUAGUGUGGAGAAAUGGCUUUAAGAACGGAUGGAUAGUACUCCAAAAUAUUGUAGAUACCGACUGAAACAUUGGUAGCAAACCACAAUAACAUUACGGGUGUGAAGCAGAAGCUAACUUUGCUUGUUCCACAGCGUUGAAAAGUGAAAAGUGCGAUUAACAUAAUCACAGACAUGAAAACCACAUGAUCUGCAGCCAAUAGAACUUUCAUUAAACCUCACGUUUUGGUGAGUAAAUGGAAGCAGAUCUGAACUAGCAAUAGAACUGUCUUUUGAAAAUUAUUUUGACUUUACCUUGUGUUAUCUUGGAAGAGAGAGAUUGAAUUCCUUGCAGGGCUGAGAGAACUGAUGUAACAAGUGUAUGGACAUGAGGCAACGUCGAAAGGAAAUAUAACUUGGAGAAAACAAAGGAAGAAUGUUACCGCAAGUAGCAGGAGUGAGAGCUCCAUCACCAAUGACCAUACAAGUUCCAAGUAAAACAACAAAAGUAAGAACAUUUUGAGCUGUGGAACUUUUCUCCAGGAACUUCUUAGUUUUUGAACGCCUAGAACUUCCACUCUCUUGGCUGUAAUAAGCCAUGCUCUCAUCAGAUUCCAUCCUAACGUUGUGGAUACUAAGUUUGCUUUGGAAAUUGAUAUGGCGACAGAGAUAUGAAUAGAGAGCAAAAGUACCGCCUUCUCCAUGAUCAUUAGCAUGGAGGACGAUGAAGACAUAUUUGACUAACACAAGCAACGUUAGAGUCCAAAAGAUUAGGCUGAAUGUCCCAAGUAAAUCAUCUUCAGUGAGAUUUGUCAAGCGAGUAGAGGAAAAUACAUUGACAGGAGAAGUGGCAAGGUCCCCAUAUACAACUCCAAGAGAUUGGUAAGCCAACAACAAGGUCUGCAUGGGUGGAUAUUCCUGAGAAAAAUACUCAAAAUCUCAAUAUCCUAUGAAGUGACUUAGAAGUUUCAAGGCAGUAACAAAAAAAAGUGUGAAGUUAUCAGAUUUUAUCGAAACUGGUAGUAGCACUAGCACACAUCGAGGGUAAAAUGAGAACAGGUUGCUUGUGAUGAUUUCAUCAUGUCCUAUGUCAACCUCCAGAUGCACCGGUCUGCAGGAACCAUGAUGACUUAAGGUGUUCAAAAGGAAGAGGUAGUUAUAACUUAAUCACAUGAAGGAAGUUAUCCCGAAAGACCUACACUCUCUUGAAAUCUAUGCAAACCUAGCAAAAGAUCGGGCACAAUGAAAGAAAAGGAUCUAUGUGGAUGAUACCAGUUAGUUGGUUUAAGCUUUAAUUAUGCUAAUAUGUUUACUUUCGAUCCCAAUGUUUGUUGGGAGUUUUUAGGUCUUGUUUGAGAUUUCAUGCGUGGGAAAUGCAGACAGCUUCUAGUGCUACAAAAACUAAUUCUUUAUUAUAUUUGAACUUAGACAAAGCUUAAUUGAGUGACAUGGACAAUGAGAAUUCAUAUAGCCGAGGAUUCACAUAGACGGUCUUAAAUAGAGGGACAGUGGAUAUUUCUUGGAAUAUUGAAGAUGAGAAAAAGUAAAGCUUACCUUAGCUUUGGUUAAGGGAGACUGGUAUGUCUGCAUAACUGUCAUGUAUGUUUCCAUAGCAGGUACUGGUUCUGGAACAACUCUCCUGCUGUUGUUACAAAGGUCAAUACGGUUACUAUCUUCAAGAUUGCUUCUACUUUCAAUAUCAUAGUUCUUUAUGCUGGAAUUGUUGCUUUUAACAUCUUCCAUGUUUUAAAUGCAGGACACUUCCAAUAUUCUAGUUAAGAAGUUGCCGUACAUUGUGUCAUGCUUAUAUAGCUUCAAAAAAGCCUCAAGGACUAUCGAUUUGCAAACAGGGAUAUCGAUUUGGUUGAUCCUAAGAAUAAAACAAAAGAUAUAAGUUAGUGCUGCAAAUUCUAAAAGCCACAAGUUGCUGGAGAGGGAGCAGGUAAAGGAACACAUCAUCAUAUAUAUAUUUUAGCAGUAAUUCCACCAAUUUGCAUACAAAUUUAUUUCAUCAUCCUGUUGGAGCACUUAUCGAUUCGCAAACAGGGAUAUGAAGAUAAAUUAUUGGUACAUUUUCUUGUUGACAUAUUAUAUUUUAUACCAAGGAGUGACUACACACUCUCACAAGUGACAUAUAACCAGAAAUUUUUAAAAAUCUGCCACUGUUGCUUUGUUGGAUGAACCUUAUCUAGUCUAGUCUAGUCUAGUUAAAUAAAUCAAGCUUAAAUUUUUGCAGUAAGUUGAUGACAAGUGAAAACUAGUAAAUCCUCUGAUUAAAAAGGUAAGCUUGAUUAAUGAACAAAAGCUCAUAUGCAAUUUUGCUGGCUUAUGAUUCUUUUGAUUAUGAAUUUUUUGUUUUAUUAUAGGUAUAUAUAUCAGUGUUGACACAUCUUGACCUAAGCUGGUCCAAUGUAAUGGUUAAGGUGUUGCACAACUUUCUUAAACUCGUGUGUUCAGUCCUAGCUAGCGACAUCAUUAUAUUUGCCUUUUUUUUACAUCUUUAAUAAAAA